UACGUAGGGCGCAAGCGUUAUCCGGAAUUAUUGGGCGUAAAGAGCUCGUAGGCGGUUUGUCGCGUCUGCCGUGAAAGUCCGGGGCUCAACUCCGGAUCUGCGGUGGGUACGGGCAGACUAGAGUGCAGUAGGGGAGACUGGAAUUCCUGAUGUAGCGGUGAAAUGCGCAGAUAUCAGGAGGAACACCGAUGGCGAAGGCAGGUCUCUGGGCUGUAACUGACGCUGAGGAGCGAAAGCAUGGGGAGCGAACAGG
rnacentral:rRNA from 1 species